CCUACGGGCGGCAGCAGUGGGGAAUAUUGGACAAUGGGCGAAAGCCUGAUCCAGCCAUGCCGCGUGUGUGAAGAAGGCCUUCGGGUUGUAAAGCACUUUCAGUGGGGAAGAAAGCCUUGGGGCUAAUACCCUCGAGGAAGGACAUCACCCACAGAAGAAGCACCGGCUAACUCCGUGUCAGCAGCCGCGGUAAUACGGAGGGUGCGAGCGUUAAUCGGAAUUACUGGGCGUAAAGCGCGCGUAGGCGGUCUGAUAAGCCGGUUGUGAAAGCCCCGGGCUCAACCUGGGAACGGCAUCCGGAACUGUCAGGCUAGAGUGCAGGAGAGGAAGGUAGAAUUCCCGGUGUAGCAGUGAAAUGCGUAGAGAUCGGGAGGAAUACCAGUGGCGAAGGCGGCCUUCUGGACUGACACUGACGCUGAGGUGCGAAAGCGUGGGUAGCAAACAGGAUUAGAUACCCGUGUAGUC
rnacentral:rRNA from 1 species